GGGUGAGUUACAGGGAAGUCUUAGUGCGGCGUCGCGAGUCAAGGCCGGGUUCCCGCCACGGGCCGCCGGCCGGGGGGCCAUCUCGGCGUCCGGGGCGCCCCCUGCAGGAUUUGGGGCGGGGGAAGGAGGAGGAGACUAUUGAGGUGGAUGAUGGGGGUUUGGGCAGGAUGUGGACGAGCAGGCCGUCGGCAAACUGGGUUCAAAGGGAAGGUUGGUUUUGUUUUCUCCUUAAAAAGGAAAUUCUCUAAACAGCGUUUGAGAGUAUUUUAUCACUUGGGGCAGGUUUGUGUGUUUUCCCUUGUGUCACAUUAAGGCAGUUUUGGUAAGGUGGCUGGUACUUUGCCGCUGCCAAGCUUGGCGAAUGGUGAACCAGAGGCUGGGUCGGAAAAAGGCAGCGAUAGUCAUGUGUAGCCACUACCAAAGAGUGAAAUUAAAACUCUUUUUUUUUUUUUUUUAAUGGAAUCAAAUCCGGGAUAUAAAAGUAGAGUUCAAACUCCAAGUCACAAACAGCAUCUAUGUUCUGUCAAAUACUGUGCCAGGCGUGGGCUUGGUCUCUUCUAGCAAACGUACUGGAUUCAAAUAAUUUGCCUUUCUCAUUAAAACAUGAAAGACAACCUCAGCCAAAAUAGCAUGUAAAAUUUCUUAUUACCUUGAGAGUUGUGUCCUAAUACAUAUUCUUUGGAAAAUAAACACUACUAUAGCUUUUCCAAGUUGGUAGAAAGUCAAAGGUUUCUUGAAAACCUGUGCAGAUUCCCAAUUGUUUUGAAGUGUACAGUGUCCAGAAUAUUCUUUCAUGUAGUAACGUUUUGUAUUCAAGGUAAUAAGAAAAAAGGUCAGGACGGUUCAGUUGUUUUAAACACUGUAGUCUGUGAGGAAGGACAAAAGAAACUUGAAAAGUUACAUGUAACUAAGAAAUGUAAGUUAGAGUUUGAGGUAUUUUAAGACGCCUAAAAGCCUACAUUUGGUGUGGAAGGUGCUGGUAAGUGGUUGAGACUUUGCCCCUCAGCUGAUUGUUGUGGUGUAGGAAUGUGGCGCUCUCAUACACAGAUCACAUUUUGUCCAGCACAGCCCCCAAAUCUGUGUUUUUUGUGACUUGACUUUUUUUUUUUUUUUUUUUUUUUUUUUGGUCUUCUUGCCUUUUCUAGGGCCACUCCUCCUGGGAAUCUCCAUAUGCCGCAGGAGCAGCCCAAGAAAUAGCAAAAAUACAAAAAAAAAGGGGGGGGGCCUUUGAUUCAAAAUGGGGAACUUAGAAGAUAGGAUGUUUUUAGUGAAACUCAGAUCACACAGGUUAAGACUGUUACUCAAACUUGGGAGUUCCUAUUGUGGCUCAGUGAUAAUGAACCCAGCUAGUAUCCAUGAGGUUGUGGGUUCAAUCCCUGGCCCUGCUCAGUGUGUUAAGGAUCAUGCUUUGCUGGGAGGUGCAAUGGAAGUCACAGAUGCUGCUCGGAACCUGUGUUGCUGCGGCUGUGGCUCUGGCUGUGGUGUAAGCCGCCAGCUGCAGCUCAGAUUUGACCCCUAGCCUGGGAACUUCCAUAUGCCAAGGAUGCGGCCCUAAAAAGAAAAAAAAAAAAAAUGAGAGUGUUGCUCAGAUUUUUCUUUGUAUUACAUUAGAUCAACAUGAAGUAGAUAGAGUGUCUACUCAUGAGCCUUAGAAAAAAAUAAAUAAGCUACCAUGUGGCAAUCACUGUGUUAGAUAGAUACUGAGGAAAUAAGGAAUAAGAUAUUGUCCUUUCUCUGGGAGGAUCAUCAACUGCAACGAGUAGUGAGAAUGGGGCAGGGGAGGUCUGUACAUGGAGAAAUUAGAGAACAAGAGGACAGAAACUUUGAGUUGUGAAUAAAAGGCUGUGGAGCAUUGAAGAUAGAACAGUUGAUUGUCUGGAAAGGUGGGGAAGGUGUGUCUUAGAAGAGGUGAUAUUUAAACUUAGCAGGUGUUUGUCAGGUAGAAAGUGAAAGGUAUGCAUUCUGGAUACCUAAAUUAUAUUACAACAUAGAGAUGGUUAAGAAAAAAUCUACCAUGCUCACAAAUGGUCACUAGCCCAUAUGCAUCACAUUAUUUCAGAGUGCUUUUGAACUUCAAAUUUUAAUACGAUGAUUCUGAUAGAAUCUCUGUGCAGAGAAUUGUAGCUAAAAUACGAUUAUCAUUUUUUUCACUUUGCAAAUAAUUUACUAGGUUUUUGAGUACAUAUGCUAAUUUGAUGUCUAGUUUAGAAAUUGACAUGUAAAUAUACAUUGAAUGUAAUACUGAUGGUCCAAUAACUGGUUAAGGACUCGUUUGCUUCUCAUGUUACGAAGAAAUCUAACUGCAGUAGGAAGCAAGUUACUGAUUACGACAGUUACAAAUUAAAACAUGAAUUAAACAUUUCUCAUUAAAAUUAUAAAACUUCUAAAUUUUAACUUUAAAAAAGGUUAAAAAAAACACAAACUAUAGCAACUGUAUUGGUUUUGCCACUAUAACAAAUCACCACAAACUGGCUUAAAGCAACACACAAUUAUUAUCUUACAGUUUUGGAGGUCUGAAGUCUGACAUGGGUCUCAUUGAACUAAAAUCAAGGCAUUAGUAGCCUUAGUUCAGUCCUGGGAACUCUAGGGGGCAAUUGUGUUUUGUCUUUUCCAGCUGUUAGAGACUGCCUGCAUUCUAUGGCUGGCUUGUGGCUCUUGUACUACAUCUUCAAAGCCAACAAGGGAGGAUUGAGUCCUCCUCACAGGACAUGACUCUUCUCUGUCUCCUUUUAUUUUAAAGACCUUGCUGAUUACAUUGGAUCCACCUGGAUGAUUCAGGCUAAUCUUUACUUUUAAGGUCAGCUGAUUAGCAACCUUAAUUCCAUCUUCAACUUUAAUUCCCCUUUGGCAUAUAACAGAACAAUCACAAAUUCCACAGAUUAGAAUAUGGACAUCUUUGUGGGGCCAUAAACCAGCCUACCACAGUAACAUAUACUUCUUUUAAAAAAAUCAGAAAUGGAGUUCCCACCAUUGUGUAGAGGAAAUGAAUCCGCCUAGGAACUAUGACGUUGCAUGUUCAAUCCCUGGCCUUGCUCAGUGGGUUAAGGAGCUGGCGUUGCUGUGAACUGUGGUGUAGGUCUCAGACAUGGCUCGGAUCCUGCAUUGCUGUGGCUGUGGUGUAGGCCAGUAGCUGUUUCUCCAAUUAGACCCCUAGCCUGGGAACCUCCAUGUGCCACGGGUGCGGCCCUGAAAAGACAAAAGACAAAAAAAAAAAAA
ensembl:lncRNA